CAGGUCAGCUGGAUGAUCGCUGGAAUUUGCUGUUAAGCAUCUUCCAGAGGAAAGUCCGCACUCCACAGAGCAUGACGCCGGGGAAACUCCCGGGGCGGGGCAACCUGCCGGAUCAGGGCCACAGAAACAUACCGCCAAACGCUGCGGUUGGAUGCAGCUUGCUGCACACAAUGCAGCGUAGGCAAGGGUGAAAUGGUGGUGUAAGAGACCACCGGCGCGGGCAGCAAUGCUCGCGGCCGGGCAACCCCCGUCAGGAGCAAGGCCGAGCAGGGACGAGCAGCGGCUCGCUGCGUUUGAGUCCCGGGUUGGCUGCACCGAGCUGGCCAGAGAUGGCCAGCCCAGACAGAUGAUCAUCCACGACAGAAUGCGGCUUACAGGCUGGCCUGGGAA
rnacentral:RNase_P_RNA from 1 species